GAAGAUAUAAGCUUUUUUUUUUUUUUUUGCAGGUCUAGAAUGGAAGUGGAUAUCCGAAAUGCAACAGGUAGAAUCAGUCAAUCGGGGGGGCCUGGAGCCGAGCCAAUCGCUUCGCAAACAGGACAGGGUGUUCCCUAUGCGCCGCGUUAUCAGCACCUGGGAUAAUAAACGUGACUGCUAGGGGUUUUGACGCUUUGGGCUCCAGGUACGAAAUGAACGCACAAUACAUUCCAAAGCCAACAUUCCUUCUGUUUGUAGAUCCGGUACUACUACUUCGUAUUUUUUUUGAUUGGUUUGAAAUAUGGAUGCUAUGACUGUAAUGCCAUCGAAUCACCGACCUUGGGGACAGUGAAAGUACUUCAGACACCGCUGAGGAAUUUGCCUGCAACUUAAAGUAGGAGACCACGUCAAACAUCUCUCUGAUCUGCGCUGAGCUCCUGACAGGCAGAGAGAUGGGGUGAGAGGUCCUGAAGGAGUCCUUCUCCAGGGCUUGGUAGAAAGUGGUGAUGAGAAGCUGAUCUUCCUGGAAAGAAGCACAAUGAUGGUCUAUACGAUGCAGUGCUGUUGGAAGCAAAGUCACUGACAACGAAAGCUACUAGGUAGCUGCUCAUCUUCACACUGUGCAGGAAGUGAUCCUCC